UUUUGCGAUGCCCAGCCUCAUUUUGCCCAGUCUGCGCCGCCUCCACGAUCCCCUGCGGCACCGGCUGGAGCCUCCGCAGCGCGCCAGUGAGGAUCUGCUGCUGAAGAAAGAAGAAGCGACGUUGGGACCUGGCGUUGGGUGUAGCUUUGAAUUGCUGCCUUUUCAUUGGUUUAUCUGUUGCCAUUUUCUAUUUGUGUUUUUAGUUGCUGUUGGACAUGAUUUUUGUAAGAAUGGUUGUUUCUUCUGCGUUCUCAUAAUAUUAAAGCUUUUUUGUUUUUCUUGUU